AUCCCCGACCCGCGCCCCAUGCCUCACCCGUUGCCGCUUCUUCUUCCCUUCCCCAACCGACGUGCCGCCGCCGCCACAUGCGUCUGUUCCUCUUCUCCCCGCAUACAAGACCCCUCGACCAAGGAAACCUCGAGCGAUUCCUCCCAUUCUUCUCCUCCCCGACCCGGUGCUCAAGGGUUUUCCCCUCUUCCUCUCUUCUGCCGACGCCGCCGACGCCCUCUCCACAGUCCUCCUCUGCCUCCCGAUCUCUUCCCUUCUCCUGAUCUCCGCCCGAACCCAGUCAUGAUCGUCCUCAUUGCGUCGCCUCUGAUCGCCACGGCCGACGCUAGUCACUGCUGCCCAUCACCGUUCAUCCAUGCGAGUUGCCGACGCAGCUAGCCUCGACCGAUCCCUUUUCCUGAUCUGGCACCGACUCACUGAGUGUCGGCGUCUCUUGACCUAGCACCGCCAACAGCUCCUGGGAGCUUGCUGCCAUCACCGAUCUAGGGUUUCCGAUGGCCGGAUUUGAGGCAGGUUUUCCUCCUAGAUCUAGAAUUAGGAGUUGAGUGUUAUUUUGGCUGAAUUGGACAACCAAAACUGUGUAGGGCUGUCAUCUUCCUCCUCCCGGUCUCCGCCAUCGCCGUCGCCACUCCUCUGCUCCGAUUCACCCUCACGGACCUUGACUCAGGACGAGCACUUCGACAUUGAGGUUGUUUAGCUCGAACUACAUUUGAGACGGGUACCUUGACUUAUCUUUUAGAUAAUGUCAUAUUGAUAUGCUUAGUAUAUUUUAACAAGUAGUAAUAAUUAUGUUUAUAUCUACAUUGGUAUGCCACUAUUUGUUUCCGAGCAUGUUUUGUUUGUUACUUGUUUAGCGUUCAUGCCCCUGUUAUUAUUUAUGAUAUAGAGGUAGUGACAUACCAUGCCAUGUGAUAUGCCAGACUAGUUAUUUACCAUAUCUGACCUGUGUACCUAGAUCUGUUUAUUUGAUCGAUUUAUAUUCGGUACAUAUUUUAUGGAGGUAGAUAUGGUCAGGAUUUGUAUGCUUAGUGUCAUGCACCAUCUCGCAUGAUUGCAUGCUGUGCGAUAGUCGACUCCAUUAUUGUUGACCACAUCGCCAGUUACAUGGAUCUGCACACACAACCACUUAUUAUUGUUGAGCACUCCAGUGCCCUUAUGGUACCACAGGGUUUUGAUGUGGGACCUCAGUAUCAGCUCCAACCCCAGCCACUGGUUCAGUACCAGUCACAGCCUCAGUCCCUAGUCCAGUAUCAGUCGCAACCUAUAUAUCUGUCUCUGGCUUAGUACCCGGCGCCGUCACAGUUGCAGGCUCAUACUCAGGCGCAGCAGCCUUUGGCAGCACUACCACCUCCACCACUGCUAGAGACUGGACGCAUUCAUGUGGUUACCAGAGAGGAUGCAGUGGGCCGACGGAUCCAUUUUCUGUGGUUGAGGCUGUCCGGAGGAGUUCCAGUCGCUAGUUCCCCCUUCAGGUUGCGAGGAUUUCUGUUUUGGAUCUUCUUUUUGGUUUCUUUUUAUGUUAUUGUCUACGUUUAUCUUUUGGCACUUGGAUCUUGUAUGAUCCCUUAUUAUCGAUGAGUUUUCGUUUGGAUGUAUGCUGGUGAUUUAAGUUUUAUGGGUGUAGUUAAGUAGGAUAUAAGAUUUGAGUUUUAUGGGUGUAGUUGAGUAGGAUAUUUGAGAUGUUUUCCUUA